AUGCUCGCUUUGACAGCACAUAUACUAAACUUAGAACUAUACAGAAAAGAUUAGUUUGGGCCCUGUGCAAGGAUGCCACGCAAAUUCACGAAGUACUCCAUAUUAAA